AUUUACAAUCACAACAAGUAGUAAUAUGUUUUAUUAAAACUCAUUUAUUAUGGCGGCAUUUCAUCUAUUUAGAGGAACCUGUCUUUUAAUCGAUACCCCACGCUAUUUUUAACUUUUUAAAAAAAAUUUACAUACCAUCAUCUUUAAAUAAAUUCUAAAAUACAAUUUACAAAAUAAGUCUAAAAAGAUAGAUCAAGGCGUAAUCUAUUUCUAAGUUAAGAUGUGUUACUUUAAAUACAAUUUAAGGAUUGAAAAUAAAAAUUUAAAAAUAAAAAGGAUUUAAAAGUAAUUAAUUAAAAAUUAAUUAAUAAUGAAACAGAUUAUUAAUGUGC
rnacentral:rRNA from 1 species